GACGAACGCUGGCGGCGUGCUUAACACAUGCAAGUCGAACGGUGAACUCCGCUUGCGGGGGGAUCAGUGGCGAACGGGUGAGUAACACGUGGGCAACCUGCCCUCAGCUCUGGGAUAACUCCAAGAAAUUGGGGCUAAUACCGGAUAUGACCGCUGACCGCAUGGUCUGGUGGUGGAAAGAUUUAUCGGCUGGGGAUGGACCCGCGGCCUAUCAGCUUGUUGGUGGGGUAGUGGCCUACCAAGGCGACGACGGGUAGCCGGCCUGAGAGGGUGAGCGGCCACACUGGGACUGAGACACGGCCCAGACUCCUACGGGAGGCAGCAGUGGGGAAUAUUGCGCAAUGGGCGAAAGCCUGACGCAGCGACGCCGCGUGGGGGAUGACGGCCUUCGGGUUGUAAACCUCUUUCAGCAGGGACGAAGCGAAAGUGACGGUACCUGCAGAAGAAGCACCGGCCAACUACGUG
rnacentral:rRNA from 1 species